rnacentral:rRNA from 1 species
GACGAGCGCUGGCGGUGUGCUUAACACAUGCAAGUCGAACGGUAAGGCCCUUUCGGGGGUACACGAGUGGCGAACGGGUGAGUAACACGUGAGUAACCUGCCCUCAUCUCUGGGAUAACAGUCGGAAACGGUUGCUAAUACUGGAUAUGAGCUUGCAAGGCAUCUUGUGGGUUGGAAAGAUUUUUUUUGGUUGGGGAUGGACUCGCGGCCUAUCAGCUUGUUGGUGAGGUAGUGGCUCACCAAGGCUUCGACGGGUAGCCGGCCUGAGAGGGCGACCGGCCACAUUGGGACUGAGAUACGGCCCAAACUCCUACGGGAGGCAGCAGUGGGGAAUAUUGCACAAUGGACGGAAGUCUGAUGCAGCAACGCCGCGUGCGGGAUGACGGCCUUCGGGUUGUAAACCGCUUUCAAUUGUGACGAAGCGUUUUUGUGACGGUAGCAGUAGAAGAAGCACCGGCUAACUACGUG